rnacentral:tRNA from 1 species
GCGGAUGUGGUGGAACGGCAGACACGCUAUCUUGAGGGGGUAGUGCUCAAUGGGCGUGCGGGUUCAAAUCCCGCCAUCCGCACCA